rnacentral:rRNA from 1 species
UGGGGGAUAUUGCACAAUGGGGGGAACCCUGAUGCAGCGACGCCGCGUGGGUGAAGGAGCGUUUCGGCGCGUAAAGCCCUAUCGGCAGGGAAGAAGGAGGACGGUACCUGACUAAGAAGCCCCGACUAACUACGUGCC